rnacentral:tRNA from 1 species
GGGGGAUUAGUUUAAUCGGUAAAACAUUGGCUUUGCAAGCCGAAAUCGAGAGUUCGAAUCUCUCAUCUUCCA